rnacentral:lncRNA from 1 species
AUGGAACGGAUUAUGAUGCGCACAGAGAGUGAGCUGACCAUGAGGAACCUCAGAAACUUGAACCAGGAGCUCCAGGCUCAAGUCAAGGAGCUGAAGCAGAAGCUGUACCUGAGCCAGCAAAGGUCGAUGUUAUGCUCGCGAGCUGCAGAUGAGGCAGAGGAGUCCAGGGCGGAGGCAGAGAAGAGCAGGGCUGUGGCUGAGGCUCGGGCCCUGGGCUUUCAGCGGGACAAGGAUGCAGCUGAGGCUGACAGGGGACGACUGAGUGAAGAGCUGCAGAAGCUUAAAAAGGAGCACGCGAACGUGCAGCUUUUACUGGCACAAACAGAGAAGAACUACUUUGAAAGUAAGCUGAAGUUGGAUCGUGUGUCUGGAGAGAAACAGGCCCUCCUGCAGGAGAGCAGGAGCCUGGAGGCAGACAGAGAUGACCUCCGACACAAGCUGAGGAAGAUCACCCAAGAAAAUGUCCAAAUUAAAGAGAGGUAGAUACAUUUUAGUGACACCUGGCAACUGUGAUUGAUUUUCUUACAUCCCACUAAAUUAUCUUAAGUACCUCUCUUUUCUAAUUUUUGCUUUCAGGGUUUUCUUUUUUAUCAUUAAUGAAAAAUAGGAGUUGUUGUGCUUUUGUCCUAGCUUCUUCUACAUAAAUAAGAAGUUGUACUGCCUUAACAAGAAAGAAUUUUGAGUAGAUGAUUGAAGCAAUAAUCCAUCCAUCCAUCCAUUCGCUUCCACUUAUCCUUUUCAGGGUCGCGGGGGGUGCUGGAGCCUAUCCCAGCUGUCAUAGGGCGAGAGGCAGGGUACACCCUGGACAGGUCGCCAGUCUGUCACAGGGCCAACACACAGAGACAGACAAUCAUUCCCGCUCACAUUCACUCCCACAUUCACACCAAUAGGCAAUUUAGAUUAAUCAGUUAACCUAUCCCCACUAACUGCAUGUCUUUGGACGGUGGGAGGAAGCGGGAGUACCCGGAGGGAACCCACGCAAACACGGGGAGAACCUGCAAACUCCACACAGAAAGACCCCGGCCUGAUGGUGGAAUUGAACUCAGGACCUUCUUGAGUGUGAUAAAAAAAAAAACAACAACAACUAAUUAAAGUGGUAUUUUUUUUUAGCUAUUCAGAUUUUUUGAUCAAAAUGCAUUUUGAAACACCCAGUUCUUGGUGAUAUACCAAAUACACAAGCUCUUUUUAAAAAUCCCAUCUAAUGCUGGGAAUAUGGGAAAGAUCAAUUCUAACAUCAGGAUGUUUGCGGAUGAAAAUGUUUGUAUGUGUGUGUGAUUACUUUGACUUUUGCUUUUAGAGCGUUUUUUUUUUUUUGAUUUCCUAUUUAUCUUCAAAGGGAAUUUCCCAAAACUCAGUGUCAUUGUCCGUGACCGUCCAUGGUGCAACAAUAACAGCCUUUUAGCUGAUAGCGCUGAGAAAAUUCAAUUCAGCUGAGUCACAUCAGCAAGGCAGAGGAGGAGAAAGCAGAAACAAAGAGAAAAGUCACAGGAAGCCUACUUGACUCCAAGAAGUUCUGUACAAUAUAUAAAGGACUUUAAGAGGCUCUAAGUAAAAGUGUAGAAAGUCUGUAAAAGUGUACUUGUUUACCUUCACUGCACAGUUUUCACAUGAUCUCUGUGUUGUCCUGUGAACACAACACAAGAUGAUUCUUCUAAGAGUGUGAGGAACAGUACCAAAGACCAGGUGUGCUUAUUUUGCACAGACUUCGAGUCAAACAACAAAUACCUAACUGGAUGACACAGUUAACAAAAGUGCUUUAAGUACUCAUAGUAGAAAAGCACUAUAUAAGGACCAGUCCAUUUACCAUUUUCAAUUCACGUCUUAGGGAUUUUCUUUAUUGCUUUUCAGUAACUGCAGACCAGAAUGAGAGUACGCCUCACAACAGGCUGAAGACAAGACGGUUUAAAGAUUUAACUGGAUUUAGUUUAAAGAUGCAUGAAGAUCCGGUCUGGCUAUGAUGUUUUAGCAUGCAAUUUCAUCCUCUCCCUUUGCAGUGAGAUGAACUGGAAACGCAGAGCGACUGAAUCAGAAGAGGAGAGCAAAAGAGCUAACCAGGCUCGGCGGGAAGUCGAGGCAGAGAGGCAUCUGGCUGAGAAGGAGAGGCAGGAGAGAGUGGCCGAGUGCCUGAGCUGGAGGGAGAAGUACCAGGAGCUGGCUGACAUGUUUCAAGCUCAGGAAGACCUGAAGGCUCUGAGGCAGAAUAAAGCAGUAAGACAGCACACUGCUCUCACGCCCACUGAACAAUUACAAAACAGUGGACACUACACUGCUUUUGUGCCAUCUCCCACCCCUUAUCACCAAAUGGUCACAGUAGAAAUUAUUUGAACUGAGCAUAAAAUAUAUUGUUCAAAUGAUUAUUUCCAUCUUGUAAAAUGUCCCUGAGUGAUUCACUGUGGUACAAUACUGCAAGUCACGCAUUUGCAACAAGGCUGAAAGAAAAAAUCUUUGGUCUGUACAUUUUCAUCUCUUUAAAAUAAAAUCUUCAAGUGAAAUAUUUUUUUUUUCCAACAGUGUCAAGCCCACAUCAAAAGCUACUUCCUGUGCAUGACUGAAAGCGACCAGAGGGUUAAAAUCCUCAAAAAUCCAGAUGGCACUCCGAGAAAUUUCACAGUGAGAUGAUCCUACAUCUCAUAAUCACAAGAGAUCUGUGCAUGUCUAGGUCUACAAUACAGGACAUUUAAAAAGCAGCUUAUGUUAUGAUUUUUGUUCAGGAAGGAGAUCCUGUAUACAUCUCCACUCCAGAGUCCAGCGUUGAAGAGCCUGAAAGGAGUUCAUCUAGGUAAACAAAAACUGUGGCCACCAGGGGGAAGCCACACAAACUACAAUCGUUCAGACAUGGUAGCAACAUAAGAUUAAAAUUCUAAUUUACAAAGAAAAAGGUAAGUGUAAAGCUUUUCUCUGGCUGAAGACCACUAUUGAGAAUUAAUUGUGAACUGUAUUUACUCAGGACCAUGCUCAGGGUGACAGCUCCACACAUGGGGAGAGAUCUGGGUCCGAGUCACUUUGAUGAGCUGCCUGCCUAUGGAGGAGAGCGACCCGACUCAGGCCCUCUGCGCAGAAGCAGGAAGGUGGUGGAAUACUUUUGGAUUCCCACAGAUCAGGACUGACCACGAAUAUAACCAAAUGCUCCUGGGCACUUCACUGCAGUAGAGCUGCUGCUUGGAAGAUUCAAACUGUUGUUCAUGUGUGAAGUAUUUUACUGGACAGAUGGAAUAUGUAACCGUAAAGCAGAGUAAAUACAGGUAAACAGUAGGUGCUCAUGUACUGACUUUAUUGACAUUAAAGCAAUAGAGGUGCACAAUAAUUCUGAAUACCUUACAAUAAGACCCUAAUUGUAUGUCUUAUACAUAAUCAUGGCUUGAGAGUACAAUUCUUGGUUAAGCCUGAUGGUCAUUUGUUUAGCUUUGGGAGAAGGGAAAUCAAUUACAAUUUAUAGUUUGCCAAUUUAAAGAGCCACACAAAUGUAACAUUUUUUAUUAUUUUAAGACCUCAAUAUAAAAACCAACCUCAUCAGGGCCGCUUCAAAAUCUAGUCAACAUUACUCUUUUGAUAACUACACAUUUCA